rnacentral:tRNA from 1 species
GAAUAGGUAAGCUAAUUUUUAAGCUAUUGGGCUCAUAACCCAACAAUGGAAUUAUUCCCUUAUUUA